rnacentral:rRNA from 1 species
UCUCUUUAGAUCACCGAAGUCAAGCAUCAUUGGGCGCGGUCAGUACUUGGGUGGGUGACCACCUGGGAACACCGCGUGUCGUU